rnacentral:rRNA from 1 species
UAACACCUGGAAACAGAUGCUAAUACCGGAUAACAACAGAUGAUGCCUAUCAACUGUUUAAAAGAUGGUUCUGCUAUCACUCUUGGAUGGACCUGCGGUGCAUUAGCUAGUUGGUAGGGUAACGGCCUACCAAGGCGAUGAUGCAUAGCCGAGUUGAGAGACUGAUCGGCCACAUUGGGACUGAGACACGGCCCAAACUCCUACGGAGGCAGCAGCC